rnacentral:tRNA from 2 species
AAAAACUUAGUUAAAAAAUAACAUUAGCUUGUCAAGCUAAAAUUAUCAUUAGAUAGUUUUUA